AUGCUCGCCGUCGCGGGGGGUUCCGCCGUGCCGCAGACAACGGCACGGUCUACUGCAUCGCGGCCGGCGCCGGCUCGUCGGCCUACAACGCCUCCGCCUCCUCCGUCGCGCCGCAGCUCGUCUUCUCGCAGGUCUCGGGCGGCGCGGGGUUCCUCUGCGGCGUUGGCGCGGUCCCAGGCGGCGGCGUCACCGCGCUCUUCUGCUGGCCGCCGGCGGCCCCGAGGCAGCUCAGGCGGGUGUACAGGGGACCGGCGCCGCUCUCGGACCUCGCCGUCGGGGCCGACCACGUCGCGGCGUACGACGGGCAGGCGCGCGGGAUCCGAUGGUGGAGGAGGGGGUCUGGGCAGUUCCCGGAGCUGGUCCCUGGCGCGUUCGGGUCCCUCGUCUCCGGCGACGGCUUCACCUGCGCGCUGGAGACCGGCUCCUUGGUUGUCCGAUGUUGGGGCCCGCUGGGUAGCGCCGUGCAGGCAGCCUUUGCCAACGUCUCUGUGUCGUCCCUCGCCGCGGGGGGCUCCCGUGCGUGCGGCGUGA
rnacentral:rRNA from 1 species